rnacentral:rRNA from 1 species
GAUGAACGCUGGCGGCGUGCCUAAUACAUGCAAGUCGAGCGAACAGACGAGGAGCUUGCUCCUCUGACGUUAGCGGCGGACGGGUGAGUAACACGUGGAUAACCUACCUAUAAGACUGGGAUAACUUCGGGAAACCGGGGCUAAUACCGGAUAAUAUAUUGAACCGCAUGGUUCAAUAGUGAAAGACGGUUUUGCUGUCACUUAUAGAUGGAUCCGCGCCGCAUUAGCUAGUUGGUAAGGUAACGGCUUACCAAGGCAACGAUGCGUAGCCGACCUGAGAGGGUGAUCGGCCACACUGGAACUGAGACACGGUCCAGACUCCUACGGGAGGCAGCAGUAGGGAAUCUUCCGCAAUGGGCGAAAGCCUGACGGAGCAACGCCGCGUGAGUGAUGAAGGACUUCGGAUCGUAAAACUCUGUUAUUAGGGAAGAACAAAUGUGUAAGUAACUAUGCACGUCUUGACGGUACCUAAUCAGAAAGCCACGGCUAACUACGU